CUCCCAUAUGGCAGGACUAAAGAAGGAAUGGAGGUCUUCAAUCUUGCGCAGUUCUACAGUUUGAAAAAAAUGAAAGCGUUUCCUAACCAGGCUUUUCCAAGAAGGUGAGAGCCAAUCCACAUCUUUGGAUCACUUUCAAAGGGGGUCAGCCACUUCUCAUCACUGGCGAUCCUUAACGCAGUGAUCCUACAUCAGUGCCCUGUGAGACCUUUUGCAGGUCUUUUUGCUACAUAAGAUGCUUGCUGUCUUUAGGGCAACACUGUUUUAAUUGUAAACUGUUUCAAACCUGUUGUAUUGGCAUUUUAAAUCUGAACGCCGCUUUACUUUGUUUUUAACAGCUGGUGAGAAGUUUGGGCUGUACUGGAAGCCAUAAACCUUCCUUUGUGGCGAUAUAGGUUUGAUAAAGUAAUGUAUCAGUGUUUGUGUGCCAUUUAAUGUAGUAAUUAAUACAAUAAAGAUCCUGUCAUAAUGUUGUA
ensembl:processed_transcript